ACAACAAAUGCUGACAGAACUGACACCUUGUUUAUCCAGUCUCAGCGUCUGUCUUAACUGUGCGACUUGGCUCCGCCCAGGUUCUGCUUUCCAAAAAUAGACCCUUCACAGGACAUCAGUUUGCUGCCAUCACUGAGACUUUGCAAAGAGCCUGUUGUUGGAGAGUUUGAGAACUAUUCUAGAAAUCAAUUUCAGAAUUUUUCCCAAGAUGGCAGGGACACUGGCGUCAGGUUCAGGGCACUUGCCUUGACCCGAAGGAAUCUGAUUUCCGGGCUUCAGCCUCAACCUCCUCAACACGGCAACAUCGUCCCUGAGCCAAGAAUGUGGGUGACAUCCCUGCAUGUUCAGUGCCUCUGUGUCCGUGGCAUGUCCGGCCCUGUGCCAAGCGCUUCACCUACAGCCUCAGUGACCAUCUCAGCCGCUCACCAGACCGUCCUGUGACAAGGCCCCGUUUCACAGAGGGGACGACCCACAUCGCCCUGACACUCGUGUCUUCGUCACUACGCCGUCAGCCUCCGGGCUCUGCAAACCACUCUAAGGUCAGGAAGGGUGCAGAGAGUCAGUCACUCCGGCAUGUCCCCUCCGCAGCCCACUGGGUAAGGGACCCUGGGUAAGGGACAGCACCCUCACAGGACGGUGAGCAGCUGAAAGCCAAGGGUUCCUGCCUCCCUCAUGGCCCUGGGCGGCCUAGCCAGGGGGCCCUUAACCCACGGGGCUCCUUCCUCCCGUCCACAGCACACCUCACUUCGCUGCGGCCCUUGUCCUCAUCUGCAGGACAAGGCAGUGGCAGUGACCGAACAAUCACACUAACUCUGAGGCCAUCAUUCAAACAUCUGAUCCUGGGAGAAGGCCAUGGCCAUGGCCCUGGGCAGGGUACAGAGUCACAAGCUCUAAAACGUGUGUCAAUAGUAAGCACCGUAAAUCAGGCCAGUGCACUUACACCCUAAUCCUCCUACGCUGACAGACAAUCGGAAGGCGGCUCUCACCUGCUGUCUCUACUCCUUGCAGUCUUUGGCAUCCUUUGGGCAGCCGGGCAGCAGCUCACAGCUCUCACCAGGAGACCCCUCUGCUCUGUGCUCCCCGCUCCCAGCCCCGGGUGGCAGCUGCCCUGGCCGCCGCCUCCAGACGCCUCCCUCCCUCCCUCCCUCCCUGCAGCCUCGCCCGUGGGCUUGAGGCUUCCGGGCCAGGCCGUGACUGACUGCUACACGUCCCACCAGUGCUUUUCAGCAAAGCGGCUUUUAAAUUCACACAUCAAUUCUACUAUUUUCUAAAUUACUCACUUCUGCUUUUACUUGGUGAAAUACUAUAGCUUCCUCAGUGGCAUGCCGGCAAUUCAGCUGCUUUGCAACAUUUGCCAAUUUCUGAGAUGUAAAUACUCCCACCAUAGUAAUUUCAAGCUAUCAACGUGACACUGCUGAGCACGGAGCUGGGGAGAAGCUACGAAAUGAGCUCUCCCGAAGAGGCAGAAAUGACUGAGGAGACCCCAGGAAAUGCUAGGAAUGAUCCCAUCUUGAAAGUGAAAACAUUAAAUGUCUUUAAAAUGGAACCUCUACUAACUUCACAUAUUCAAGCCCAGUUUUAGUAAAAGUAACUAUCUUACUUUUCUCAUUGCUGAGACAAAAUACCUGACACCCCAAGUUAAAG